GACGAACGCUGGCGGCGUGCUUAACACAUGCAAGUCGAACGGAAAGGCCCUGCUUUUUUGUUGUUCUCGAGUUGCUAACGUGUGAUUAACCCUUGAGUAACCUUCCCUUGACUUUGUGAUAUCUUCAGGAAACUGGUUCUAAUACCUGAUAGCAUCUCCUUCUGCAUGUUGUUGGUUUGAAAUUUUCGGCGGUUGGGUAUCGACUCGCGGCUUAUCAGCUUUUUGGUUUGGUAGUUGCUUACCAAGGCUUUGACGGGUAGCCGGCCUGAGAGGGUGACCGGACACAUUGGGACUGAGAUAGGGACCAGAGUGCAACGGGAGGCAGCAGGGGGGAAUAUUGCACAAUGGGAGGAAGCCUGAUGAAGAAACGCCGCGUGCGGGAUGACGGCCUUCGGGUUGUAAAAAGCAUGAGCAUGAGACGAAGCGUGAGUGACGGUAAUGGGUAAAGAAGCACCGGCUAACUACGUG
rnacentral:rRNA from 1 species